rnacentral:rRNA from 1 species
GACGAACGCUGGCGGCGUGCUUAACACAUGCAAGUCACGGGGGCCCGCAAGGGUAACCAGCGAACGGGUGCGUAACACGUGAGCAAUCUGCCGUCCACUGGGGGAUAGCCGGCCCAACGGCCGGGUAAUACCGCAUACGCUUGCCGGGUGGCAUCACUUGGCAAGGAAACCUCCGGGGGUGGACGAGGAGCUCGCGGCCUAUCAGCUAGUUGGUGGGGUCACGGCCCACCAAGGCGAUGACGGGUAGCUGGUCUGAGAGGAUGGCCAGCCACAUUGGGACUGAGAUACGGCCCAGACUCCUACGGGAGGCAGCAGUGGGGAAUAUUGCGCAAUGGCCGCAAGGCUGACGCAGCGACGCCGCGUGGGGGAUGAAGCAUUUCGGUGGGUAAACCCCUGUUGCCCGGGACGAACCUCUCCUUUCGAGGAGACUGACGGUACCGGGUGAGGAAGCACCGGCUAACUCCGUGCCAGCAGCCGCCGUAAUAC